GAGGCUUCUUCGCUUCUUAAGGCGAACAGGAAGGUGGCCUUGGAGUCAAAUGUCCCAUGAGCCUAGGUGCUGACCAUUACGGGGUCCCUAAUGUAAUAAAACCUGGGACUCCCAGAAGUGAAGAAGCUUCUUGUUAAAGACUCCCAUGACCUGGAUGAAUGAGAACACAAACAUGUUCUAAUGUUUCUUGAAUAAUAAAGAGCUUUGCGUGUUUGGUCCUCAGACGACAUCGAGAUCAUCUUCAGGCGAGAGUCGUGGAAGGCGAACGGGGAGUUUGCCCAGACAGACGUGCACCGACAGAUCGCCAUCGUGUUUAAGACUCCGCCCUACGAGGACCAAGACAUCACAGAGGAAGUGGAAGUCAACCUGGCCCUGCGUCGCAUCUCAGACCAGAUGGAGAGCGAGCCCGUUACAUUCAAGUACCUGCCUCGCAAUCCAGGAUACUCCAAACACCCUCUUGGCAGUGCCCUUCAGCAGUUAAGUACUUUAGUACUUUCCCAGUAAACUGUCAUUGUGCCAAACCAGGAGGGAGGGCGCUGUUUCCCCAUUGCACUGACAGUUGAGGCAAGUGGAAACACUGUUAUGUUAGGAGCACACCGGUGACAGGUGUAGGUGAUGCUUGGUGUCAUGAAACACUGAUGGUCUACUUUUGACUCAAGUAAAUCAGAAUCAGAAUCAG